AACUUGUGAUAUGGGCAGGCUCUCAUCAACUUCUUGAAUCACUCCCACGUUUCGAAUAGAAACUCACUGUCCAUCUGCCUAAAGCAGGUAAUUUGGUUCCUUAACU